rnacentral:rRNA from 1 species
UACCAGCUCUCCGAGUGGUGUGGAUGUUUAUUGGGCCUAAAGCAUCCGUAGCUGGCUGGGCAAGUCCCCUGUUAAAUCCACCGAUUCAAUCGUUGGAGUGCGGGGGAUACUGCUCGGCUAGGGGACGGGAGAGGCCGACGGUAUUUUCGGGGUAGGGGUGAAAUCCUAUAAUCCCGGAAAGACCACCAGUGGCGAAGGCUGUCGGCUAGAACGCGCCCGACGGUGAGGGAUGAAAGCUGGGGGAGCGAACCGGAUUAGAUACCCAGGUAGUCCCAGCUGUAAACGAUGCAGGCUAGGUGUUUGGGCGGCCACGUGCCGCUCUAGUGCCGCAGGGAAGUCGUUAAGCCUGCCGCCUGGGGAGUACGGCCGCAAGGCUGAAACUUAAGGAAUUGGCGGGGAGCACCACAAGGGGUGAAGCUUGCGGUUU